UUAUGUGUCCUUUGGGUACGGGGAUAUCAGCACUAGAUCCCAAAAGAACAUCAAAGUUAAGCAUGCCUCAAAAAGAGUAGUACUAGGAUGGGUGACCUCCUAAGAAGUCCUUUUGUUGCACCUC
rnacentral:rRNA from 1 species